CCCAACGCAGCUCCAACAAGCCCGCCUCCAAAAGCUCCGGAAGCAAAGAGCGACUUUCCGGAGGAGAGCCGCAGGGCUCCCUGGGAAAAAGGAAAUUGAUGUAGGCGAAACAGCUUGCCGUUAGAUUGACUGAGAGCGCGCUCACAGUUUGCAUCCUUGAACUGGAAGAGGAAAUGUCCUGGAAGAAAUGCCUUCAGAGAGGCUCUUAGUUCUGUCCAUUGACUAGGGUUCUGGAAAAUGGGGAAAAGGAGAGAAAGUUCUUUAGGCCUUGCCAAAAUGUGCUGCCACAUGAUAAAUAUGGAGAAGUAUGGGAAGACAUAAGAAUGGAUGCAAACUGAAAAAUGUGCAACCAAGAAAAUAAUAUAUACAAUGAUUAUAGUAAUAUAAAUUGGAAAGAACAGCAGCAAUAAACCAUUGAAACUGAA